UCAUGUAUACGUAUACACACACGUACGCGCUUAUACAUACACGCCUUGGUAAACGGAUGCGUACUAAUAUACACAUAAUUAUCUCUUUAUUUAUUUAUUUACUCGUUUAUACGUGUGUGAAUAUCGUACGUGACGAUAGAUACGCGUGGCGCGCACGUACACAUGUACGUGUAUACACGUACGUACGCGAUGAUAUCGUUGUAUAUACGUGCGCGAUUUAAUUACACGCGUAUAUAUGCGUGCUGUAACGUAUGUGCGGCCUGCGGUGCUCGAUAAUUCGAUACUACAAAGACUAUUACCAUAUUAAACUUGAAAUAAUUUCUUAUUAUUGAUAGGGCCAUCCUUUCUUUCUAUUUUUUUUUUGUUCCUUUAUUUUAAUUAUUUUCCUCUCGAUCAAAUUUCGUACGUAAACUCACGUCUCUCGCGGAUUUAGAGUCGAAAAACAAAGAUAAUAGCCAAGGAGCAAACAGAAGCAUCAUUCUGUAAGGUUCAACGAGUUAUCAUGGCCGCUAAAUCGAGCACCGCGGGUGGGGCCAUGCAACAAGAACAUCGCAAAUCGAAUCAAACGAGUCAACCAUAAACCAUAAACGAAGUGGACAAGAAUAUAUCUUGCGAAGACUGUGGAACGUAGCAAGGUUCCCUUGUAACAGUUCAGCCAACCAAACAGCUGUGACGAGCUAUAAAAACGUAGCAAUUUAUGGACUAAGACCUAGGGUAGUACCAUUUUCACUUCGGAUAGCGAGCUGAUGCUCAAGACGUACAUGGUGACGCCCACCUCGACGGGAGGACCUGAAAGCGAAGGGCACGGCUUAAGAGGGAAUCAUGCUCGUGAAAGUACCGACGCUUUUCAAGCACAACCACUUCCGGUAUUUAGCUAAGCGACGACAACGACAACGUCGACGACAAGGAGGAGUAGAAGAAAACCGUUCGUAUUAGAUGAUUUAGGUGACGUACUCGGGUUUACCGUCGCGCAUGGUCCAGUGUCGCGGUGAGACCGGCGUCCAAGGAACCGCAACGUCUAGCGUCGCGACGCUCGACGUUCUUCGCGGAAACCUCGAGAAAACCUUCUUCGGGCUCUUCGGUGGAAACCAGGGCGUCAUGAAGGGCAUCUGAAACGUGUUGCUGUAGGAGUGAAGCGUGUCGAACGAGUCCGGACUGACGACGCCAAGUAUCGAGUACACGCCCCUGCUGAAUUGAGUGCAAACUGCAAGGAGAAAUGGAAAGAUGAGUCUCCUCCGUUUUCUUUCUUUCUCAUCUAUUAUAUUCGCAAUACGCGUUCGGGUUUCAUUCAACGAAGACAAAAGACGAUACUCCUACGUCUAUUUCGUAUUUUACGAAGAAAACGACAAGUUCCUCUGGAAAAGUAAUCAUACGACGACGCUCAUUUGCGACGCCACGGGAAAAUAUAAAAUAUAUCGCGUCGAUAAUUUGGACGUUGAAUAUAAACGUGGAAUACGGACGAGAAUCAAAGGUGAAUAUGAACGAAUUUUCGUACGUUUAGUCAAUGCAUCGUUGCGUAAAAGAAGCGAGGGGAGGCGUCAUGGGUCGCGCGAUAAUCGUUUGGUGAGUUAUGGAAAGGGAGAAAGAGUGGGUGGAACGUAUGCGAAAGGUGGGUUGGUAUUUGACGUAUAUUUCGUAUAACAUUAUGCGUCGAGCCACGCGAUGACAGCGCGUUGGCUUUCAUGGAACACAAUAUUCGUUGAAAAGCAUCAGACGACACGCGCACAAUGCCUGGCGCUUGGACGUCCUUUUAAGAACAUAUUAACAAAGCAUAAGAAAGGGAUGGAAUUUAAUUGCAUUUUCGAAAAAUACAAUUACAACAAAAUGCGUAAUAGUAAAGCAAGCAUUAUUAAAGAGCAAAGAAUUUAUUUUGGUCGGAAAAUGAGGAGAGAGGAAGGAGGGAGGGAAAUCGGUUCGUACCGUUGAUAAAUUCGAAGGGUAAAAAAGAAAAAGUUGGCUCUUGCCGAUCGGAGCGAACGAUAAUGAAAGAAAUUUAGUGUGACAAAUCGGAUAAAAAGGGAAAUGGCCUGCGCAGAUAGGCGGACGGAAGUAGAGAGAAAGGAAAAAAAGUGGACGGUAGAAAUGGUGUAUGCAGAGGCUGGAAUACGCGGAAUGGAGAAGGUGCGAGCAGAUUCAGACCCUUGGAAACGAUCCAAGAGCGAGUAAAGCUGGUGGACACGCGAGAAGUUGGCUGCGAGGUGAAAAGGGACCUGGUUGGAUGGGUAGGAUAAAAGUGGGCUGCGGCGUGAGAGGGAUCAGUCAGGAGUUAGCGAGUUAAUCGGAAAGGAAGCUGUUGAAAAAGAGCCGUAGACGCUGAGAACUCGUCCUUUCGAAACCGGUUUGAGAAGGGCACUAUAAUAAGAGGAUACGUCCAGUUUUACGACCGGGACGGGCCAACUUUUACGCGCGCAAUCGGAGAUACGCUUAGAUAAAUACGCGUCAUUAUUCUUGUAAUAAACGCGACGAUGGUUAUGGAAAAUAAUUUAUGGUUCUUCAAAAAAGAUGACGCCCUGCUAUCAAUGUUGCCAUAAUAUCUCUGAAAGCACGUGCAAAUUACUUUGUUUUGAUUACUCCUUCAAACCCUUUCUUUUCUUUUUCCCCUUUUCCUAAAUAUGGGACUUGCUGCGUUAAAAUGAGAAGAAAAAGGAACGGUACAUUCAGUCGUUUCAUUUUCACAUUUUUGGGAGUAGAAGAUGGAAAAAAGAAGGAAAAAAAGGAAAGAGAGAGAGAGAGAGAGAGAGAGAGAGAGAGAGAAAUAGAGGUGGUAGCACGUGUACCCGAAUUACGCGCAGUAAAGCAGAAUUCAGAGAUCCGCAAGGGCAGUGGCCGGCAUUUAUUGCGCGCAUUCCCAUGGGUGCAUUUAUAUUCAUAAGCAUAAUGGGGCAUCAUGACGUAUACAUAUAUACCUACGUAUAUACCUACGUAGUAGGUUUCUACGCGUAGGUUUGUUAGGUAUAUAUUGUAUGUGUAGAUAUAGUCGAGACAGGCGAUCCAGCUUGGUCAAAGCUGUCCGCUCUUUCCUCUUUUGUCAUUAUUAAUUCUACGAACCUUCGUCACGGUUUACUCAAAUUCCUCCGGGCAAUCCCGGAAGCCCCAAGAUAUUCUCAUUUUCGGUCUCGUACUAUUUGCACUCGUAAUUGUUCCAAAAGAUUCUUCUUAAGAGAGAGAGAGAGAGAGAGAGAGAGAGAGAGAGAGUUAUUUUCUCCUUAAUUUGUUAGAUCUCUAUUCGCAGAGUUCCUAUAUAUUAUAAAACCAGGCUAAACUUAAGAGCUUUGAAGGAACGGGCAAAGAUCCGCAUCUAUAAAGAAGAAAGAUAAUACAAUUUUGAAAAAAGAUAAUCAGAAUUCUCGCAAAGUCUCGAUCGUUUAUAUUGUUCCAUUUUAUCGAUUAUACAGGCGGAACUUUUGAUGUUUCAGUUAAAAAAAAGUUUCAAUGACUCGUCACGUUACUUCGGAGAAAGUCGUCGACGAAAGCACUCGUCGGAUAGCCCGGAGAAUUCUCAAGUAAAGGCACGAAUAUUGCCAACGAAAUUAUUUUUUACUCCAAAACUUUAAAGCACUCGCCGUAAUGUAACCAAACUGAGAGCUCCUAGGGGAUUUUCAACUAGGUCGAGGAUAGUCCCUGAAGUGAAUGUGGCGAUUCCUACAGAAGCACUUGCCUUGGAUCAAGAUAUCUUUUACGAUUGAUGACACGAACCGAAGUAAACUAUCGCGCGAAUAACUAUGAGUUCUCUUUUCUCGUGAAACUACAUUUUUUUUUUUCAUAAUCGAUAUCGUCGCUAUUAAUGAUCGCAUAAUGGCAAACUUUAAAAAAAGCUUAAAAUCGAUAAGAAAAUGUUCAAAUUAUCUUGACGUUUCAAUGAAUCGCUUACCUCGAUCCAAUAAAUUAUUACUUUGGAAGCCAUCGAGUCGAUAGAGAUAGAGAAGUUAAACUCGGCGAUAGAUACACAAUAUAGUGAUCAAGCUAAUUGAUAAAUGUACGAAAUUAUUUCGAAAACAUUAUCAUCGACACGUAUAGCUUUGCUCGAUCGUUUCAACGGCAGAUCAAUUUAAAUCUCAAAAAGUAUAAUGAAAAGAGAGAUGGAAAAAAUAUCUCUACCUAUGUAUACACGUGGUCUACAUUAUAUUUAGCGACCGAAGAGAACAACUAAUCCCAACUAGCGUUCAUGGACCAUUUAACUUGGAAACUUGUCCUAUCACGCAUGUUCCUAUUUGUCCUUUAACAGUCGCCAUGUCUGUAUAUAAUAUGCAUCGGUGGUGGCGUGCGAUGCAUGCAGGAGUGGUCUUAUCAGAAUUAUCGGUGCCGUCGUUUCAUGGACCUCUCACAUGCAUACGCACAUACUCUCUCCCCCUAACCCCGCCUCACCCUCUGUAUGUGUGCCUUUCAAACUAAGGACGACGACUAGGAGAAACUUCUCCAGCUCAACCCACAAUAGGCAAAGUUCAUUGCGAACGACAGAUUAUCUCAUUUCUAGUCUCUAUUCUGCUCACGGACUUUUACCAAGUCAUUAAGUCAUACACACACAUACACACACGCGUGUUAUAAAGGGGUAAAAGCAUUAGGGAGUUUGCACGUAAAGAUGUUUGACAUCGUCGAAUUAAAUAUUAUUUUUUCUUUGAUCUACGAAACCUUCGUCCCUUGCAUGCAAUUUCGACGAUGAGUGUAUCCGUGCAAUUUCGAGUUAUGGCAAAUAAACCACAAGGCAAAAAAAUGAUUUUAUUCGUAUCUAUGCGCAAGAUCAGCGCGAAUUUGUAAAAUCUUUCAAAAAUUUCAUUAGUCGUAAGAUCCUUGAGUGAUAUUAUCGAGCUAUAUCGAUUUAUUUUUAUAUUUCGACAAGUCCGUCGCAGAAAUCGAUACAAGUCGUCGGGUUUUAAUUGAACUUGAAAAGAGGGUUCACGUAGAGCCAAACUCUUGGAACCAAUUGUGUUUCGACGCUGCAGGAAGACGACUGCCAGUUUUUUUGGAGGUUAAGGGAGAAAACGAAAAGAAAGGGAGUAAAAGAGGAAAGAGAUGGAACGGUAAAAAGGGAGAAAAAUUGCGAGUCGAAGGAAGAGUCGUUCGCAAAGGGAAGAAAAAGAGGAAUCGACCUAAACGAUAGAAAAGCGAAAGAGACCCAAAAGGUUUUAUCGUCCCUCCCGAUAGAAUCCCAAGAACUCCAAAUACAAGCGUUUCAGUCGUUUGUUUCGAGAAAACGGUUACACGCCGUAUCGUCUCAAUAUCACGGUACAAUUAAUUCCGAAAGAAAGGGGAACUUUUGUCGUCGGAACCUGUCGACGAAAAACGUCCCGUUCGAUGUAUACAUAUAUGAUUUAUGAGAUCUCUCGAAACUUUACGACAGCUCGUUUCAAUGAAACGAAGUAUGACGACGAAAGGCUAAAAUCUUUGAUACUUAAUGCCCAUCGAUUGGUGCGAGAUUGAACUUUAAGCGUUCAUUUCAAUCGCGCGCUUACCUUUGGCGAGUUCUAUUUACAUGUUCUAUUUAAAAGACGACGUCUAGUCGAUGCGAGAUCGUCCAAGAAAAAAAGAGAGAUGGAAAAUUCGAAGGAGCCACUCGAGAAAAGAGGCGAAGACGAUCGAUCUAGAUCGGGACAGUUCGUUUAAGGACGCACGCCCUCUUCUAUGGGCCAUCGGUCGUUCUUUUACCACCGUAAUCUUGUCACUCGCAGGCAGACAUUCUUGUUCUCGGAUAUUUUAAAUCAAUGAAAAACUACCAUUUUCAUAUCGUUACUCAUUACGCGUAAUUCGUACUCGACUUGGCGAAGAAACGAGUUUGAAUUUAAUUUAUUCCUCGUCUUUUUAUUUCCCACAAAUUUUCGCGAUAAAAAUAUAAAACGUAGAACGAGAGGAGAAUAUGGGGAAGACGCAAAGAAAAUUUGAUCUUUCCAAGGUCUUUAAGAGAAACGAGAAGAGAGAGAGAGAGAGAGAGAGAGAGAGAGAGAGAACGUAGAAUACGACCGGGAAGAUCGCGGACGAUGCUCGCGGACGAAAAUUCCUCGACGUUAUUACGUGUCGCUUGGAGCACAUAUCGCUCUCAAAGAAUAAUGGCUACUUCCUGAAACGACUACGCUACUCUUUCACGAAAUGAAAAGCCAACGAACACGCGUAUUUUCCCGGAAAUGAAAAUACAAAGUAUAUAACCUAUAUCGAUUCUCUUUUCCUCGUAGUAGCGUAUGUAAAAACUUUUUUUGACCUCGCUCGGAUACUGCAAAAUGAUUACGAUAAGAAUUAAAUCGUUUCCAUUCCGUCCGUUAAUCCGCAACAUUUCAAUGGAACGAUCAAUCUGUAAUUACAGCUGGAGGAAAUAAAAAGAAAAGAAAAGAA